rnacentral:rRNA from 1 species
AACGAACGCUGGCGGCGCGCCUAAUACAUGCAAGUCGAGCGAGAAGGUGUAGCAAUACACUUGUAAAGCGGCGAACGGGUGAGGAAUACAUGGGUAACCUACCCUCGAGUGGGGAAUAACUAGCCGAAAGGUUAGCUAAUACCGCAUACGAUUCCAGGACUUCGGUGCUGGAAGGAAAGCACUACCGUGGGUAGUGCGCUCCUGGAUGGGCUCAUGUCCUAUCAGCUGUUGGUGAGGUAAUGGCUCACCAAGGCUUCGACGGGUAGCUGGUCUGAGAGGACGAUCAGCCACACUGGCACCGCGACACGGGCCAGACUCCUACGGGAGGCAGCAGUAAGGAAUAUUGCGCAAUGGGCGACAGCCUGACGCAGCGACGCCGCGUGGGGAUGAAGGUCUUCGGAUUGUAAAGCCCUUUCGACAGGGACGAUGAUGACGGUACCUGUAGAAGAAGCCCGGCUAACUUCGUGCCAGCAGCCGCCGUAAG